AGACCCCCAUGGAGGCGGUGGGUUUGUUGAAGCCACGGCUGGAGGAGGCCAUCGACUGCGUCAUGAACCCGCAUCACGGCACCCCCGUUCCACCGUGGUGACAAGCACUUCCACUUCCACUUCCACAACUCCAGCCUCUAGACGCGGAGCGUACUCAACGUGCAGAUACAAUAUAAGUACAUGACGAUAGGAAGUACUUUGCAUUUUGGUGACAAGAAACAUGGACAAUUGGGGAUAUGUUCAUUAAAGACAUAACUGAGGAGCACUGUCGGUUCAUCUGGCCUGCAGUUUGAUUAUACAACUCAACAUUUAGUUGCUCAAGGUUUAAAUAUAUCAGGCUUAUAAUCAAAGGAGCAUUCCAAAAAGAAAGGUUCCAGUGUGAAUGAUAAUAAUGACAACCCUGCUUAUGAAAUGACUCCGGAUGGUCAGCGACAGAAGGAUGGUUCAACCGAUCUUUCAUCAAGCAAAGAAGCAAAAGCUGAUUCUCACAAAGUGCAUACAACUGGUGAUCCGCAUGAGAGUAAAAUACAUACAAUUUGAUAUCUUACCUAGUGAUCCGCUAUUUCCUGAUGGGGAAGUUCUUCAAACAAAGUGCAUCUCCAGUUUCCCUGAUGAUCCGCAUGAUAAUAAAAUACAAAUCAGAAAAGGUACGAAACAACAGUUUGAAAACUGCAUACAGCCAAGAGGCGUGGUUAUGUACCUUUACUCUCCCAAAUGAUUCCAGGAGUUCUCUCGCAUAACAAUGGUGCAGGGUACCCUUUAUAUGCAUGCUUUAGGAUUCUAUGGUUUCAGGCAAGUACCGAUAUGGUUGAUCUGCAAUGAUGGAGUUUCCUUUGAAAUGUGAUUGAUCCCUGAAAUGUUGCGGUUUUCUUUCUUUUACCUGACAUAAUGGUGUGUUGAUAGAUCCCUGAAAUGUUGUGUGCACUUUCCUGGAAUGCGGGAUGAAUUAAUGUUGCGAUUUCCUAUUCUGUGGGGGGUGAUUAUGCGCUGGACUUUCCUGGAAUGCUUAUGUGGUUUCCUAUUUUUGUUUACACGCUGGACAUUUAGGUAAGAUGGUUAUGAUGGCAAUAAACAAAAUGCCUCUGAUUGUAAGAUGGUUAUAUGGUAAGAUGAUUAUGUCUCCGAUUUUUUUUGUC